rnacentral:rRNA from 1 species
ACACCGGCCGCUCAAGUGGUAGCCGCUUUUAUUGGGCCUAAAGCGUCCGUAGCCGGUCUGAUAAGUCUCUGGUGAAAUCCCACAGCUUAACUGUGGGAAUUGCUGGAGAUACUAUCAUGACUCGAGGUCGGGAGAGGCUGGAGGUACUCCCAGGGUAGGGGUGAAAUCCUGUAAUCCUGGGAGGACCACCUGUGGCGAAGGCGUCCAGCUGGAACGAACCUGACGGUGAGGGACGAAAGCCAGGGGCGCGAACCGGAUUAGAUACCCGGGUAGUCCUGGCCGUAAACGAUGUGGACUUGGUGUUGGGAUGGCUUCGAGCUGCCCCAGUGCCGAAGGGAAGCUGUUAAGUCCACCGCCUGGGAAGUACGGCCGCAAGGCUGAAACUUAAAGGAAUUGACGGGG